rnacentral:rRNA from 1 species
AGAGUUUGAUCAUGGCUCAGGAUGAACGCUAGCUACAGGCUUAACACAUGCAAGUCGAGGGGUAACGUGAGGGAAGCUUGCUUCCCUUGACGACGACCGGCGAAUGGGUGAGUAACGCGUAUCCAACCUGCCGCACGCCCGGGAACAGCCCUUGGAAACGAGGAUUAAAUCCCGAUACCUUAUCGUUCCGCAUGGAGUGAUAAGAAAACAGGCAUGCGAUGGGGAUGCGUCUGAUUAGCUUGUUGGCGGGGUAACGGCCCACCAAGGCGACGAUCAGUAGGGGUUCUGAGAGGAAGGUCCCCCACAUUGGAACUGAGACACGGUCCAAACUCCUACGGGAGGCAGCAGUGAGGAAUAUUGGUCAAUGGGCGAGAGCCUGAACCAGCCAAGUAGCGUGAAGGAUGACUGCCCUACGGGUUGUAAACUUCUUUUGUCCAGGAAUAAAAAAUCCCUCGUGAGGGGUCUUGCAGGUACUGGUUGAAUAAGGACCGGCUAAUUCCGUGCCAGCAGCCGCGGUAAUACGGAAGGUCCGAGCGUUAUCCGGAUUUAUUGGGUUUAAAGGGUGCGUAGGCGGGGAAGCAAGUCAGCCGUAAAAUUGUUGAGCUCAACUCAAUCCCGCGGUUGAAACUGCCUCCCUUGAGUACACUAGAGGGCGAUGGAAUUCGUGGUGUAGCGGUGAAAUGCAUAGAUAUCACGAAGAACUCCGAUUGCGUAGGCAGUCGCCUGGGGUGCCACUGACGCUGAGGCACGAAGGUGCGGGUAUCAAACAGGAUUAGAUACCCUGGUAGUCCGCACAGUAAACUAUGGAUGCUCGCGGUGCGCAAAUUGUUGUACGCCGCCAAGGGAAACCGUUAAGCAUCCCACCUGGGGAGUACGCCGGCAACGGUGAAACUCAAAGGAAUUGACGGGGGCCCGCACAAGCGGAGGAACAUGUGGUUUAAUUCGAUGAUACGCGAGGAACCUUACCCGGGCUUGAAAUGUACUCGACAGGACUCAGAGACGAGUCCCUCCUUCGGGCGAGUAUGUAGGUGCUGCAUGGUUGUCGUCAGCUCGUGCCGUGAGGUGUCGGCUUAAGUGCCAUAACGAGCGCAACCCUUCCCGCCGGUUACCAUCAUUCAGUUGGGGACUCCGGCGGCACUGCCAUCGCAAGAUGUGAGGAAGGCGGGGAUGACGUCAAAUCAGCACGGCCCUUACGUCCGGGGCCACACACGUGUUACAAUGGGGGGCACAGAGAGCUGGAUGCCGGCGACGGCAUUCGAAUCAUUAAAUCCCCUCCCAGUUCGGACUGGAGUCUGCAACCCGACUCCACGAAGCUGGAUUCGCUAGUAAUCGCGCAUCAGCCAUGGCGCGGUGAAUACGUUCCCGGGCCUUGUACACACCGCCCGUCAAGCCAUGAAAGUCGGGGGCGCCUGAAGCCCGUUGCCGCAAGGCGCGGUCUAGGGCGAUACCGGUAAUUGGGGCUAAGUCGUAACAAGGUAACCGUA